rnacentral:rRNA from 1 species
AGCGAACGCUGGCGGCAGGCCUAACACAUGCAAGUCGAACGAACCUUUCGGGGUUAGUGGCGGACGGGUGAGUAACACGUGGGAACGUGCCUUUAGGUUCGGAAUAACUCAGGGAAACUUGUGCUAAUACCGAAUGUGCCCUUUGGGGGAAAGAUUAAUCGCCUUUAGAGCGGCCCGCGUCUGAUUAGCUAGUUGGUUGAGGUAAUGGCUCACCAAGGCGACGAUCAGUAGCUGGUCUGAGAGGAUGAUCAGCCACAUUGGGACUGAGACACGGCCCAAACUCCUACGGGAGGCAGCAGUGGGGAAUCUUGCGCAAUGGGCGAAAGCCUGACGCAGCCAUGCCGCGUGAAUGAUGAAGGUCUUAGGAUUGUAAAAUUCUUUCACCGGGGACGAUAAUGACGGUACCCGGAGAAGAAGCCCCGGCUAACUUCGUG